UACGUAGGUGGCAAGCGUUGUCCGGAAUCACUGGGCGUAAAGCGCACGUAGGCGGUUUGUUAUGUCGGAUGUGAAAGCCCUUGGCUCAACUGAGGAAGUGCAUCCGAAACUGGCAAGCUAGAGUAUGUAAGAGGGUCGCGGAAUUCCCGGUGUAGAGGUGAAAUUCGUAGAUAUCGGGAGGAACACCGGUGGCGAAGGCGGCGACCUGGGACAAUACUGACGCUGAGGUGCGAAAGCGUGGGGAGCAAACAGG
rnacentral:rRNA from 1 species